rnacentral:lncRNA from 1 species
CUGAUCCUCUCCAUAAUGGUCUGUGGCUCCAGGCCCUGUCACAACUCUAACAUCAAGAAAAUGCUGUGUACCUAGCAGGAGCACCACGUCAACUUCCUGCUCUCCAAGUACCUGAGAGGAAUGUGCAAGGACCUCAUCUACCACAGACAGCUGUGAUAGCAACUGAAAGAUGCACAUCUACAAGAUCCCCAGCCAAUGCCAGACACAGCCCAAGGCACAGUGCUGCAUCUCCUCUGUAGUCAUCGACCAGGAGGUUUUGUAAAAAGGAGCUGCAUUCCAGACAGCUGCAUUCUCAUUUCAAAGAUCAGAAAAGAAACUGAAUUCUAGACAUCUUCCCUUUAAUUCUUCAAGAAAGUUGUAAGGAAAAUAUACAAGCAGAAAUAAAUCUUAACAGCAACCUGAUACUCAGUGUCUGAGGUAAACAUCCUUAAUCUGACUUGUGAUUCAGAUCUUGAUUCAUUUUUAUCAUGGUUUCUGACAGAUUGCAGGUUAAUUUCUUUGGUCACAACAGGAAAAGCAUUUUUGCGCUAGAUAACUGCAGCUCAUAAAUCUCUGCACGAGCACCCCAC